CACGAGCAAAGAAGGAUGGCUGUGGGAGUACUGACACAGUAUCUGGGAUCAUGGCAACGACCUUCCUAUAUGUCCAAACAGCUGGAUGCAGUAGCCAGUGGUCUUCCUCCUUGUCUAAGGGCCGUAGCUGCCACCGCCCUGUUGGUAGCAGAAGCUGACCAGCUCACUCUGGGUCAGGAACUCUAUGUGUGAGUAGCCAGUGGUCUUCCUCCUUGUCUAAGGGCCGUAGCUGCCACCGCCCUGUUGGUAGCAGAAGCUCACUCUGGGUCAGGAACUCUAUGUGUGAGUCCCGCACGCAGUACAGACGUUGCUAGACUAUAAAGGUAAUCAUUGGUUUAGCAAUAGCCGCAUGACUAAGUAUCAAGCCAUGUUAUGCGAGAACCCGAGAGUGCAUCUUGAGACUGUAAAUACCUUGAACCCAGCUACCCUCUUGUCGCAACCUACUGAGAGUCGACAUGAUUGCCUGGAGGUAAUGGAUGAAGUGUUCUCAAGUAGACCGGACCUUCAUGAUUUUCCCAUCCAGAACCCCGAUGUUCAGUAUUACACGGACGGCAGUAGUUACGUGAAAGAAGGGAUUCGCUAUGCAGGAUAUGCAGUGACAACUAUAGACAAGGUGAUAGAAGCGCGGCCAUUGUCAAAAGGAACAUCAGCACAGAAGGCAGAAUUAAUCGCACUUACACGGGCUUUGCAAUUGGCUGAAGGGUUGAAAGUAAAUAUCUACACAGACUCAAAGUACGCGUUUUUAACCACUCAUGCCCAUGGAGCUUUGUAUAAAGAAAGAGGAUUACUGACCUCAGAAGGAAAAUAAAUCAAGUACGCAGCUGAGAUAUUACAACUAUUGGAAGCUGUAUGGGAGCCGAAGGAAGUUGGUAUCAUACAUUGUCGAGCACAUCUGAAAGGUGAUGGUGAUGUGGUGAAAGGAAAUCGGAUGGCAGAUAGUGCAGCUAAGCAUGCCACUGAACCCAGACAAAAAGAAUAUGUGGAGUGUGUAGCAGCUCUUAUACCGACCCCUCUGUCCCAGUGGACUCCAGUUUAUACAGCUCAAGAAGUAGAGUGGUUAAAGACUGAAGCUGGGAAAUAUUUGGAGAAUAAUUGGUAUCAGUUAGAGGAUGGAAGAAUAGUUAUUCCAACAUCGCUAGCUGUAGAAAUUGUCCAGAAUUAUCAUAAUGGGACACAUUCUGGAAGAGAUAGUAUGGAAGAAUCUCUUAGGAAGCAUUUCUACAUACCAAGAUUGUCCAACUUGACUCAAGCCAUUGUUCGAAGAUGCGUGUCAUGUGCCAAGAACAACGCAAGGCAAGGUCCAGUGAAACCACCGGGAGUCCAGUACAUGGGAGGGCUUCCUAUGUCCGAUCUCCAAAUAGACUACACGAUAAUGCCCAAAUCCGGCGGACAUCGUUACCUACUAGUAGCUGUGUGUACCUACUCAGGAUGGGUAGAGGCGUGUCCAACUCGUACAGAGAAAGCAGGAGAAGUUGUGCGAUUUCUGUUGCGAGAAAUAAUACCCCGAUAUGGACUACCGUGUUCUAUAGGAUCAGAUAAUGGUCCAGCUUUUGUCCAUCAGUGCCUACAACAACUGACUCAUAUGCUUGGUAUUAAGUGGAAACUUCAUACAGCAUAUAGGCCUCAGAGUUCUGGGAAAGUGGAAAGGAUGAACAGAACCAUUAAGACCCAGUUGGCAAAAAUGUGUCAAGAAACCCAACUUAAGUGGAAUGUUCUUUUGCCAAUAGCUCUGUUGCGCAUUCGUAGUACACCUACCAGAAAGUUAGGUCUAUCACCCUUUGAAAUUAUGUAUGGGUGUCCACCUCCCAUACUUAGUAACUUAAGGGGGGACUUGAGUCAGUUGGGAGAAGGAAUUACCCGGCGGCAGGUUGUAGAGUUGGGCAAAACUAUGGAGGAGGUACAGAAAUGGGUACAAGAUAGGUUACCUGUAAAUAUUUAUCCACCUGUCCAUUCUUACCAUCCAGGAGUGGAACAGUGUACUGUUGGGGCCAAAAUGGAGGGGUCCUUAUGCUGUUCUUUUGUCUACUCCAACAGCUAUAAAGGUGGCAGAGGUGACUCCGUGUAUUCAUCACUCCAGGGUUAAACCAGCAGCAGAUUCUUGGCAAGCUACUCAAGAUCCUGAGAAUCCCUGCAAGAUCCGGUUAAAGCGAGUGACCCAGUUAGAUUAAAAGUGGUUUUUGCGAAGAGUAUUGUUACAAGGGAACAUCUACAAAGAUCUACAAGUAGGUGUUUUGACGGCCACAAUAAAGCCUGACCACCUACCAACGUUUAAGCCAGAGGAAUCCUCUGUGAAGAACAGUGAGGAUCAGAAGGACUCCAUUCCCUGCAGCCCUCACAUGCCUGGAAGCUGAGGUGCCGUCGCACGGUCGAAGAAUUAGGAAGAAGAUGUCAGGAGUAAUGUGUUUGAUGAUGUAUAUAUGUGUGUAUUUAACUUUUCAGGAAGGUAGAGGUACCGACACACCAGGCUGCGAGGUUUGCAUUAAGACUACGAAAACAGGCAAUCGUAUUUCCCAGACCCUUAUUUGGCAUUCGCAAUAUGAGUGCACAGGACAUGUAUCAAAGUGUAGAUACCUAGGUACAGAUUAUAGUGUAUGCCAUAUAGGAGCAGGAGAACCUAGGUGUUUUAAUCCUGAGUAUCAGCCCCGUACAAUUUGGUUGACUAUUCGGAAUGAGAACGCACAGGGGAACCUGAUAAAUAAGACUGUACUAGAAAGCGUACAUUCUCCAGGUGUAUUGCUAUUUGAUGCAUGUAAGGCGAUAUCAGGUAGUAGGAAGCCAUGGAAUGUAUGUGGUGGUCUUAAAUGGGAAAGAACGUAUGGGUCUAAUGAUAAGUAUAUUUGUCCUAGUAAUAAGCAUAAGUAUAUAGAUCCAAACUGCCUAAAUAAAGACUACAAUUAUUGUCCGUAUUGGUGCUGUGUGGGAUGGGCAACCUGGGGACAGACAGUAGAUGAGGAUAUGAUUAUCACUAGAUUGCCUACCAAGCCAUAUUGUAAGUCUAUGGAGUGUAACCCAGUCCAUAUACUUAUCAAGGACCCAGAGCUAUUUAUAGAUAAGUUUGGGAAUCUAUUUGGGUUCCAAAUAUAUGGAACAGGUUUGGAUCCUGGGACGAUAUUAUACAUAGGAAUAGAGACAGAUACAGUGGCCCCCCAGACUCAUCAGGUUUUCCAUUCUUUUUAUGAGGAGAUGAGUGUGGAAGAUAAGGUUCCCCAUAAUGCCAAAAACUUAUUCAUAGACCUAGCUGAGAGCAUUGCUGGUAGUCUUAAUGUAACCAACUGCUAUGUGUGUGGAGGUACUAAUAUGGGAGACCAAUGGCCUUGGAAAGCAAAGGAGGUAAUGUAUUCUGGUUCUGAGACAGUUGAACAACUAAUAUCUUCUCAAUCUGAUUAUCAAGUGAGUGUUAGAGGUAAAUCUGAGUGGCGAUUAAAGACCUCCAUUAUAGGUUAUGUUUGUAUAGCAAGGAAAGGAAUAAUGUUUAAUACAUCUGUAGGAGAAUUGACUUGUUUAGGGCAGAAAGCCUAUAAUGACGAUACAAAGGAUACUAUUUGGUGGUCAGCUUCAAAUGUCUCAGAACCGUCUAAUCCGUUUGCAAAUUAUACCAAUUUAAAGGAUGUAUGGUUUGACCUAUCUGCUACAUCUAGUUGGAAAGCCCCAGCAAAUUUGUACUGGAUUUGUGGUAAGAAAGCAUAUUCGGAGUUACCACAGGACUGGGAAGGGGCAUGUGUAUUGGGUAUGCUCAAACCAUCCUUCUUCUUGUUGCCAAUUGAAACAGGAGAGACUUUAGGAGUUAAAAUAUAUGAUGUAAAUCAUAGGAAGAAAAGGGCACCCCUAGAGAUAGGUACCUGGGAAGAUGAUGUGUGGCCUCCCCAGCGUAUUAUAGAUUAUUAUGGGCCAGCUACAUGGGCAGAGGAUGGUACUUAUGGAUACAGAACCCCAAUAUAUAUGCUUAAUCGUAUUAUAAGAUUGCAAGCAGUAGUUGAGAUAGUUACCAAUGAAACAUCACAAGCGCUCAAUCUCCUAGCGAAGCAUAACACUAGGAUGAGGACAGCCAUCUACCAGAAUAGAUUAGCUUUGGAUUACCUAUUGGCAGUAGAGGGAGGUGUAUGUGAGAAGUUUAAUCUAAGCAAUUGUUGUCUUCAAAUAGAUGAUGAAGGGCAAGCAAUAGCUGAGCUUACUAGCCAUAUGGUUAAGCUAGCACAUGUACCUACUCAGGUAUGGAAAGGGUAUAAUCCGAGUAGUUGGUUUGGUAGUUGGUAUGAGCAGUUUGGAGGAAUCAAGGCAUUGGUAGGUGGAGUCAUACUGAUUUUGAUGUUGUGUCUCCUUCUGCCAUGUCUGAUUCCUUUGGUAAUUAGGUCUAUGCAGAGCAUUAUAGAAAGUAUAGCAGAAAGAAAGGCCGCAGCACAGGUAAUGGCUGUUUGCAGGUAUGAAGUUCUAGAUCAAGGAGAAUACAUGCAAGUCAGGAAGAGGAAUGUUGAGGGGUUCGUAUCUUUAGAGGAUCGCAAAGUCUAGUCUGGUUUAUGGCAACUUGAGGUGUAAGCAAACUAUGAUUGGUAAUGCAUCUGGAAUUAUUUUAAAUCAGAAGCAUCAAAGGGGGGAAUGUGAUGGAAUUCCAGUAAAAUACAAGUUUAGCAGGCCAAGAUUGCCACAAGGCAUAUGUAGGUACAUGUGUUUGUAGUAUCAGUUAGUUAGUUACACGUAGCUAAGAUACUGUCAUCACUGUACUGAGCAUGUGCAGGAAUGUAGGAACUGUAAUUACGCGUCCCUCUCCUUUGUUUCAGAUGAGCCACGUGGUAAGACCGGAUGGAUGAGUUUAGACUCUAUUCAUAGAUUAGGUUAAGGAUAUGUGUGGGCGAAGCUAAUUAUGGGAGAAGCUACAGUGCUAUAUAAGGAAUGUACUCUAUGUAUUCAGUACUCAGAUCUUUGCUGUUUUUGGUGACAUAAGUCCCUCUGAGUCCCGGUCGGUGAAUCGAAUAAAG